rnacentral:rRNA from 1 species
GACAGAGGGGGCAAGCGUUGCUCGGAAUCACUGGGCGUAAAGGGCGCGUAGGCGGGAUGGCAAGUCGGUCGUGAAAUCCUUCGGCUCAACCGAAGAACGUCGGCCGAUACUGCCGUUCUUGAGGGAUGCAGAGGAGAUUGGAAUUCCCGGUGUAGCGGUGAAAUGUGUAGAGAUCGGGAGGAACACCGGUGGCGAAGGCAGGUCUCUGGGCUGACACUGACGCUCAUGCACGAAAGCGUGGGGAGCAAACAGG